CGCGUAGGCGGUUCGGUAAGUUAGGCGUGAAAGGCCUGGGCUCAACCCGGGAACUGCGCUUAAGACUGUCGGGCUGUGAGUCCGGGAGAGGAUGGCGGAAUUCCCAGUGUAGAGGUGAAAUUCGUAGAUAUUGGGAAGAACACCAGUGGCGAAGGCGGCCAUCUGGCCCGGUACUGACGCUGAGGCGCGAAAGCGUGGGGAGCAAACA
rnacentral:rRNA from 1 species